rnacentral:rRNA from 1 species
CAAUAGCGUAUAUUAAAGUUGUUGCAGUUAAAAAGCUCGUAGUUGGAUUUGUGGUUUGUGGUGGGUUCCGGGCACUUGUUGUCUGAGUAACUUGCCGCUGCCAUCCUUGGGUGGAACCUGUGUGGCAUUAGGUUGUCGUGCAGGGGAUGCCCAUCGUUUACUGUGAAAAAAUUAGAGUGUUCAAAGCAGGCUUAUGCCGUUGAAUAUAUUAGCAUGGAAUAAUGAGAUAGGACUUUUUCGCUAUUUUGUUGGUUUGCGCGAGAAGGUAAUGAUUAAUAGGGACAGUUGGGGGUAUUCGUAUUCCAUUGUCAGAGGUGAAAUUUCUUGGAUUUUUGGAAGACGAACUACUGCGAAAGCAUUUACCAAGGAUGUUUUCAUUA